ACCCUUUGAGUCUGAAGAAGCACGGCAGACCUCCCUGAGGUCACCGGUGGCCACGCGCACAGACCGUGGGGAACGGGUGACACAAGCGACAGAGGCAACUACCCUGCGCUCGCAGCUCCACACAUCUUCCCACCAUCGGUUUUACCACAUCUUAGCGGAUCCCACUUCAGGGUGCAGUGAGUUAGUGUUUUCUCAGCGUCUCCCACCAACACUGGCACUGGUUUCAGGCAGACUCCUCACCGAGCCCGGGUCCCUCCGUCCCUUCCCGGUUGGCAGCCCCGCCUCGGACGCGCAACAGCUGAGCGGGACUGGCGACAUCUGCCGGCUCGUUCGGAGCCAAGGAACCCACUCGAAGCCAUCUGGCUCUGCCUUUAAUUGACUAUUGAUUUUAUUCCCAGUGUCUUCAACGCCUGGCGCCGCUCUCUCACGGAAAGGCUAAUGGUGUUAAGUUUAUUUUCUCCGGACACAGGUUUUGUCUCUUCCAGUGGCUACAAUUAAACAUGAUUUAAUUAA